ACUGAUGAACGGAGGCAGGCGGGCGAUGAGCUGUUGUGACGGAAAUAACCCCAGCUGUAACCAGAGCUGCUAAUGAUGCUGCAGCCCUCAAAUACAUAGUGAAGGACCAGUGGGGACCAGUAAGCCUGCCUACUAACAGCCGCACGUAGGUCCAUAAUACAGCCUGAACAGCAAGGACCAGGAAGGACUACCGAACUCCGAACGAACACGUCAUUAAGGGAUCUGGAAGAAAAGAAAAAAACAAGCGGUGGUAAAUGUAGGUAAUAAGUUAUUACUGAGUAAAGUGUAUUGAUAUAUACCCUUUCUUGGCUU